ACCAGCACCCUCAAGUGGUCAGGAUGAUUAUUGGGCCUAAAGCAUCCGUAGCUCGUUUUGUAAGUUUUCGGUUAAAUCUAUGCGCUUAACGUAUAGGCCGCCGAAAAUACUGUGCAGCUAGGGAGUGGGAGAGGUACACGGUACUCGAUAGGAAGGGGUAGAAUCCUUUGAUCUAUUGAUGACCACCUGUGGCGAAGGCGGUGUACCAGAACACGUUCGACGGUGAGGGAUGAAAGCUGGGGGAGCAAACCGGAUUAGAAACCCGUGUAGU
rnacentral:rRNA from 1 species